CAUCAUUUGUAUGCAGCUAAGCAUUAUGUCAGGCCUCAAGGAUACAAAGAUCAAUGCAGUGUGAUUCCUGCCUUCAAGGGACCUAUCACUGUCUUGGAGAAGUAACGGUGAAAAUUAUAGUCAACAAACUACAUGACUGCUUUCCCUACUUCUGCCCUGUGGCCUUAGGACACUUAGGCAUAUCCACAGCUCUUCAAAUAAGCAAUGUGAUGUUAGCAAAAGUGCAGGGGCUCCUUGAGAACUUUCCAGGGCUAACCAGCUGCUGAGGAGUGGCCUCCAGGAAAGAGAGAAGCACUCUGAUUCAGGCAGUGAUUUACACCUAAAAUACCAACUCCAUCAUAUCUUCAGAACAAUUCUUCUAGACCUUGCAUCUAAAUAUGGAGUCAUUAACUAACAACGAACAAAACCUCUGGAUGGCCGAAGGACCUAGGCUAUACAGAAAGCUGUGAAUUACCAAUGAGAACGCAGGAUCAGCAUGUGCAAAGAUGAAGAGGCAUAAGGACUGACCAGUGGGUCACGGCAAUGAGACAUUUACUGCUGACCUCCAAGAGAAGACUUCCAUUGAAUGAGAGGAAGAUCUACACUACUAAUGAUCAAACUUACCUGGAGCAGUAUCUGACACAGAUAUGUGUUGAGUGAAUGGAUGAAUAAAUAGAUAGAAGGAAGAUCCUCCAACUAUGAAGUUUCU
rnacentral:lncRNA from 1 species